rnacentral:rRNA from 1 species
UUAGGGAACUUUCACACUGGGCGCAAGCCUGAUGGAGUAACGCCGCGUGGGCGAAGAAGGUCUUCGGAUCGUAAAGCCCUUUUCUGGGGGACGAGGAGAAGACGGUACCCCAGGAAGAAGUCUCGGCUAACUACGUGCCAGCAGCCGCGGUAAUACGUAGGAGGCGAGCGUUGUCCGGAAUUACUGGGCGUAAAGAGCGUGUAGGCGGUCCGGUAAGUCGCCCUUGAAAGCCCCCUGCUCAACGGGGGGAGGGAGGGCGAAACGGGCGGACUCAAUGGAGUCUGGUAGGGGGAGGCGGAACGGCCGGUGGAGCGGUGAAAUGCGUAGAGAUCGGCCAGAACACCAGUGGCGAAGGCGGCCUCCUGGGCCAGAACUGACGCUGAGACGCGACAGCGUGGGGAGCGAACGGAAUUAGAUACCCCCGUAGUCC